AUCUAUGGGAACAUUGACACUUGAUACUGGCAAUGUAGACUCAGAUGUAUACCUAAGUUUGGGACUUAAGGUCAAGGAAUUGGGAAAAGGAGUUUUGGGAACUCCACAGGUUUUAACCCUUCUUUCUUCUCUUCUUGAGAGAUCUGUUCAGAAAAAUGAGACUGUGCUGGAGACUAAACAGAUCAAAGAUGCCAUUACAGAAUUUGAUGGUUUAAGA
rnacentral:misc_RNA from 1 species